AUGAGGCAGAGUAGACAUAGUGGGAGAGCCUUUAUUUAUGCGACAGCGACCAUCCUUCUCUCAUUCGCAAUGGGAACUUUGAUAUAUUCAGUACCAGUGUGGACGAAACACUACAAAUAGCUUAUGCAAUCUCUUGCUAUGCGGGGCACAUGCAGUGUUCCAGGGCAAGCGCACGAUGAUGCACCGUCACGACGAAGCUGAAUCACCGUUGAUUUACUUCGUACCUGAACUGCUGAUUCGUCUCACUGCUUUGAGUGUAAUUCCGUGGGCAAAAGAUGGCUUUUUCGGUGUCAGCUUUGCAGAGAAGCCAAAUAUGUUUCUGGUUUUAAUUUACUGAGUUGGAUUUCGGGUAAACAAAUUUUGUCACGCCGAAACCAGAGUCUAAUGCUGAACUUAAUGACCGUCGGGUUUGUUGUUUAUGAUCCAAACCCAUAAAUCUGGGUUGGAUUUGAAUAAGCAGGGUGGAUUAGUUGGGUCACACCCUCGACAACGGUUUGCUUAGUAAAUACUUUGCUGUUUCUGUCAUUAGUGUAAUUACUUAGUAUUUACUUCCCAGUGGCGAGGGGGGAUUUAGCUUUACUAAGUUUUGAUGUUUGUUCCGUUGCGUUGUAUCUAAGAUGUGCGCAGAAAAACAAUAUAUUUGGAACUAAAAAAUAAAGAUCUGUUUAAUCA